GUGGGGAAUAUUGGACAAUGGGCGAAAGCCUGAUCCAGCCAUGCCGCGUGUGUGAAGAAGGUCUUCGGAUUGUAAAGCACUUUAAGUUGGGAGGAAGGGCAGUAAGUUAAUACCUUGCUGUUUUGACGUUACCGACAGAAUAAGCACCGUCUAACUUCGUGCCAGCAGCCGCGGUAAUACGAAGGGUGCAAGCGUUAAUCGGAAUUACUGGGCUUAAAGCGCGCGUAGGUGGUUCAGCAAGUUGGAGGUGAAAUCCCCGGGCUCAACCUGGGAACUGACUCCAAAACUAGUGAGCUAGAGUACGGUAGAGGGUAGUGGAAUUUCCUGUGUAGCGGUGAAAUGCGUAGAUAUAGGAAGGAACACCAGUGGCGAAGGCGACUACCUGGACUGAUACUGACACUGAGGUGCGAAAGCGUGGGGAGCAAACAGGAUUAGAAACCCUUGUAGUCC
rnacentral:rRNA from 1 species